UGCCAGCAGCCGCGGUAAUACGGAGGGCGCAAGCGUUGUUCGGAAUCAUUGGGCGUAAAGCGCGUGUAGGCGGCCAGGUAAGUCGGAUGUGAAAGCCCGGGGCCCAACCCCGGAACUGCACUCGAUACUGCCUGGCUGGAGUCCCGGAGAGGAUGGCGGAAUUCCCGGUGUAGAGGUGAAAUUCGUAGAUAUCGGGAGGAACACCAGUGGCGAAGGCGGCCAUCUGGACGGUGACUGACGCUGAGACGCGAAAGCGUGGGGAGCAAACAGGAUUAGAUAC
rnacentral:rRNA from 1 species